rnacentral:rRNA from 1 species
GACGAACGCUGGCGGCGUGCCUAAUACAUGCAAGUUGAGCGCUGAAGGUUGGUACUUGUACCAACUGGAUGAGCAGCGAACGGGUGAGUAACGCGUGGGGAAUCUGCCUUUGAGCGGGGGACAACAUUUGGAAACGAAUGCUAAUACCGCAUAAAAACUUUAAACACAAGUUUUAAGUUUGAAAGAUGCAAUUGCAUCACUCAAAGAUGAUCCCGCGUUGUAUUAGCUAGUUGGUGAGGUAAAGGCUCACCAAGGCGAUGAUACAUAGCCGACCUGAGAGGGUGAUCGGCCACAUUGGGACUGAGACACGGCCCGAACUCCUACGGGAGGCAGCAGUAGGGAAUCUUCGGCAAUGGACGAAAGUCUGACCGAGCAACGCCGCGUGAGUGAAGAAGGGUUUCGGAUCGUAAAACUCUGUUGGUAGAGAAGAACGUUGGUGAGAGUGGAAAGCUCAUCAAGUGACGGUAACUACCCAGAAAGGGACGGCUAACUACGUG